GAUGAACGCUGGCGGCGUGCCUAAUACAUGCAAGUCGAGCGAAUGGAUUGAGAGCUUGCUCUUAUGAAGUUAGCGGCGGACGGGUGAGUAGCACGUGGGUAACCUGCCCAUAAGACUGGGAUAACUCCGGGAAACCGGGGCUAAUACCGGAUAACAUUUUGAACCGCAUGGUUCGAAAUUGAAAGGCGGCUUCGGCUGUCACUUAUGGAUGGACCCGCGUCGCAUUAGCUAGUUGGUGAGGUAACGGCUCACCAAGGCAACGAUGCGUAGCCGACCUGAGAGGGUGAUCGGCCACACUGGGACUGAGACACGGCCCAGACUCCUACGGGAGGCAGCAGUAGAGAAUCUUCCGCAAUGGACGAAAGUCUGACGGAGCAACGCCGCGUGAGUGAUGAAGGCUUUCGGGUCGUAAAACUCUGUUGUUAGGGAAGAACAAGUGCUAGUUGAAUAAGCUGGCACCUUGACGGUACCUAACCAGAGAGCCACGGCUAACUACGUGCCAGCCGCCGCAGUAA
rnacentral:rRNA from 1 species